rnacentral:rRNA from 1 species
GCCCUAGUAACGGCGAGUGAAGCGGCAACAGCUCAAAUUUGAAAGCUAGCCUUCGGGUUCGCAUUGUAAUUUGUAGAGGAUGAUUUGGGGAAGCCGCCUGUCUAAGUUCCUUGGAACAGGACGUCAUAGAGGGUGAGAAUCCCGUAUGUGACAGGAAAUGGCACCCUAUGUAAAUCUCCUUCGACGAGUCGAGUUGUUUGGGAAUGCAGCUCUAAAUGGGAGGUAAAUUUCUUCUAAAGCUAAAUAUUGGCGAGAGACCGAUAGCGCACAAGUAGAGUGAUCGAAAGAUGAAAAGCACUUUGGAAAGAGAGUUAAAAAGCACGUGAAAUUGUUGAAAGGGAAGCGCUUGCAAUCAGACUUGUUUAAACUGUUCGGCCGGUCUUCUGACCGGUUUACUCAGUUUGGACAGGCCAGCAUCAGUUUCGGCGGCCGGAUAAAGGCUCUGGGAAUGUGGCCUCCACUUCGGUGGAGGUGUUAUAGCCCAGGGUGUAAUACGGCCAGCCGGGACUGAGGUCCGCGCUUCGGCUAGGAUGCUGGCG